rnacentral:rRNA from 1 species
GGGUANUAAUUUGAAACCUAAAGAAUUUGGCGGUUCUUAAACUUACUAGAGGAACCUGUCCUAUAAUCGAUAGUCCACGAGCUUAUUUACCUACUUUUGUUAACAGCUUAUAUACCGCCGUUUAGUGAACUAAAAUAAUAGUUUCUCUCGAUUAACUAGCUAAAGAAAUCAGGUCAAGGUGUAGCUUAUAAGUAGGGAGAGAUGGGUUACAAUAAUUUAUUAAAUGGAUAUUCUGCUUUAGGGUAGUAUUGAAAGUGGAUUUAGAAGUAAAUUUAAAUAUUUUGAAGGAAGCUCUUGAGAAUGUACACAU